GACUUGCAUUUGAUUGGUUGAACAGCCAACAGAAAGGCUCUUUCCUGCAUUUGAGAAUAUGAACUAAGAUACAGAAGCAGCUCCUCUGAGAAAAGAAAGUUGAAAUUAUCGUAAUUUGUCUCUAGGCUGAGAUACCAGCAUGGAGAAAAUGUUGGAGUGUGCAUUCAUAGUCUUGUGGCUUCAGCUUGGCUGGUUGAGUGGAGAAGACCAGGUGACGCAGAGUCCUGAGGCCCUGAGGCUCCAGGAGGGACAGAGUAGCAGUCUCAACUGCAGUUACACAGCCAGCAAUUUAAGAGGGCUGCUCUGGUAUAGGCAAGAUCCUGGGAAAGGCCCUGAAUUCCUCUUCAUCCUGUAUUCAGCUGGGGAAGAAAAGGAGAAAGAAAGGCUAAAAGCCACAUUAACAAAGAAGGAAAGCUUUCUGCACAUCACAGGCCCCAAACCUGAAGACUCAGCCACUUAUCUCUGUGCUGUGCAAGCACAGUGUUCCCCAGGCACCUGCAACUUGUAUCAAAACCCUGCAGCUGCGGAUCUGGAAUGAUGGCAGAGGCAUCUCUGCUGUUCUUCCUCUGGAAGGAGUAUUUAUUUAAAGCCCAGGGCCUUUUUCCAAAUGGUCCUUUGGAGAAUGAAGUCAUGAGACAAAGCCAGAAAGCAGGACUACUGUUCAUUCUGUCUGGGCAUCCUAGACAGUCCCUUGUGCAUGUUCAUGGGUCAGUCUACUCUUAAUAACAUCCCAGAACUUCCCUCACAUAAAUUCAGAAGUGCCAGAUGUAAUAUGAAGAGUCCUGGUUUCCAGUUGUGGACCACUUGGAAAAAGACUGCACAGGUGCAUACACUCCCUGCUGAAAAAAAUGUGUGUAUGUGUCUGUGUUGUCUUACAAUAAUCUGGUUACAUUAAUAUAAGUUAAUCUUUUUAAUAAUAUAGUAUUCUUGAAGCCCACGUCUCCACCAGUCACAUCUCUAUAUUUCUCAUCCCUUUGUCAUCAAAUUACUUGAAGGAAUUGUCUGUACUAAUUCUCUUAAUUUCCAUUCUUCGGUCUCACUCAAAUCUGGCCCCUGUUAAGGUCACUCCAAGGGAAGUUCUCACUUUAACACCAGCGGUUUUGGUAUUGAUAAGGCUAUCAGAUAUUUUUCAGUACUUAUCUUGUCUAAGAUUUUCAGCAGUGUUUCCUCCCUUCUCGUUAAAAUAAAUAUUUUAUUUUUUAUUUUAAUCCAAAUAAUGCUCACAUAUAUUUACAAAAUCCAACAGCACUGUCUGAUACCCCAGUCAGGUCUCCCCAUUCUCAGGUCAUGGUACUCACAUUUAUCUGAACAUUUAAAAAUGUUGUUUCUUUGCUUUCUUCUCUUUCUUUUUGAAAUUGAGUUACAACACAUAAUAAGGUGAAUAAAACUUUAGCUUAUAGCUCAAUGGAAUUUUACACUUCUUUGUAUCUGGGUAACACCAUCCAGACCUACAUACUGAAAUUUUCCAUUACUCCAGAAGAUUCCCACCUGCCCCUUCCAAUUCAACAGCCCUUCCCCAACUCCCCACUUGGAGUAACCACGAUUCUGGCUUUCAUCUCUUGGUCUUAAACUUUGUGUGACUGGAAUUAUAUCGUACAGCCUAUAUUCUACUGUCUUAAUUUCUUCUCUCAAUGCCGUAUCUUUGAAAUUCAUUAAUA